rnacentral:pre_miRNA from 1 species
UUUGUCGGUUGUUGUGAGUUUUUUAUUCAGUAUUUGACCGUUUGUCUUAUUUGAAAAAAAUUUUUAUGGUUAGUGUUUUUAUUGUUUUUAGAUGAUAAAACGUAAAUAAUACUUGACGCAUGACCUAUUUUUAAUCUUUUAUAUUUCUUGUAAAUAAUACGGAUGAUUAAACGUUAGACACGAAACCCACGACUAUACUUAAA